UACGUAGGGGGCAAGCGUUGUCCGGAUUUAUUGGGCGUAAAGAGCGUGUAGGCGGCUUUGCAAGUCCGUUGUGAAAACUCGAGGCUCAACCUCGAGACGCCGGUGGAAACUGCAAAGCUAGAGUCCGGAAGAGGAGAGUGGAAUUCCUGGUGUAGCGGUGAAAUGCGCAGAUAUCAGGAAGAACACCGGUGGCGAAGGCGGCCCACUGGAUCGGUACUGACGCUGAGGUGCGAAAGCGUGGGGAGCAAACAGG
rnacentral:rRNA from 1 species